rnacentral:rRNA from 1 species
GAUGAACGCUGGCGGCGUGCCUAAUACAUGCAAGUCGAGCGAACAGACGAGGAGCUUGCUCCUCUGACGUUAGCGGCGGACGGGUGAGUAACACGUGAAUAACCUACCUAUAAGACUGGGAUAACUUCGGGAAACCGGAGCUAAUACCGGAUAAUAUAUUGAACCGCAUGGUUCAAUAGUGAAAGACGGUUUUGCUGUCACUUAUAGAUGGAUCCGCGCCGCAUUAGCUAGUUGGUAAGGUAACGGCUUACCAAGGCAACGAUGCGUAGCCGACCUGAGAGGGUGAUCGGCCACACUGGAACUGAGACACGGUCCAGACUCCUACGGGAGGCAGCAGUAGGGAAUCUUCCGCAAUGGGCGAAAGCCUGACGGAGCAACGCCGCGUGAGUGAUGAAGGUCUUCGGAUCGUAAAACUCUGUUAUUAGGGAAGAACAAAUGUGUAAGUAACUAUGCACGUCUUGACGGUACCUAAUCAGAAAGCCACGGCUAACUACGUG